AAUAAUUAUAGUUUUGCACUAUUUACGUUCAACGUUUGACCGUCUAUCUUAUUUAAAAUUUUUUUAUGAUUAGUAUUUUUAUUGCUAUUAGAUGAUAAAACAUGAAUAGUACUUUAUGUGUGACUAAAUGUUUUUAAUUUUUUCACAAAAUUUUCAAAUAAGACGGACGGUCAAACGUUGAACGUGAAUAGUGCAAAACUACACUUAUU
rfam:Oryza sativa (indica cultivar-group) chromosome 2, whole genome shotgun sequence.